UGGGGAAUAUUGCACAAUGGGCGAAAGCCUGAUGCAGCAACGCCGCGUGAGUGAUGAAGGUCUUCGGAUUGUAAAGCUCCGUCUUUUGGGACGAUAAUGACGGUACCAAAGGAGGAAGCCACGGCUAACUACGUGCCAGCAGCCGCGGUAAUACGUAGGUGGCGAGCGUUGUCCGGAUUUACUGGGCGUAAAGGGUGCGUAGGCGGAUGUUUAAGUGAGAUGUGAAAUACCCGGGCUUAACUUGGGUGCUGCAUUUCAAACUGGAUAUCUAGAGUGCAGGAGAGGAGAAUGGAAUUCCUAGUGUAGCGGUGAAAUGCGUAGAGAUUAGGAAGAACACCAGUGGCGAAGGCGAUUCUCUGGACUGUAACUGACGCUGAGGCACGAAAGCGUGGGUAGCAAACAGGAUUAGAUACCCUGGUAGUCCACGCCGUAAACGAUGAGUACUAGGUGUAGGAGGUAUCGACCCCUUCUGUGCCGCAGUAAACACAUUAAGUACUCCGCCUGGGAAGUACGAUCGCAAGAUUAAAAC
rnacentral:rRNA from 1 species